CCUACGGGGGACAGCAGUGAGGAAUAUUGGUCAAUGGGCGCGAGACUGAACCAGCCAAGUAGCGUGAAGGAGGACUGUCCUGAGGGUUGUAAACUUCUUUUAUAAAGGAAUAAAGAGAGGCACGUGUGCCUUUUUGUAUGUACUUGAUGAAUAAGGAUCGGCUAACUCCGUGCCAGCAGCCGCGGUAAUACGGAGGAUCCGAGCGUUAUCCGGAUUUAUUGGGUUUAAAGGGAGCGUAGAUGGGUUGUUAAGUCAGUUGUGAAAGUUUGCGGCUCAACCGUAAAAUUGCAAUUGAUACUGGCAGUCUUGAGUUCAGUUGAGGUAGGCGGAAUGCGUGGUGUAGCGGUGAAAUGCUUAGAUAUCACGAAGAACUCCGAUUGCGAAGGCAGCUUACUAAACUGCCACUGACAUUGAUGCUCGAAAGUGUGGGUAUCAAACAGGAUUAGAUACCCGAGUAGUC
rnacentral:rRNA from 1 species